ACAGCAGUCGCCGCGGGAAUACAGAGGGUGCGAGCGUUAAUCGGAUUUACUGGGCGUAAAGCGUGCGUAGGCGGCUAAUUGAGUCGGAUGUGAAAUCCCCGAGCUUAACUUGGGAAUUGCAUUCGAUACUGGUUAGCUAGAGUGUGGGAGAGGAUGGUAGAAUUCCAGGUGUAGCGGUGAAAUGCGUAGAGAUCUGGAGGAAUACCGAUGGCGAAGGCAGCCAUCUGGCCUAACACUGACGCUGAGGUACGAAAGCAUGGGGAGCAAACAGGAUUAGAUACCCCCGUAGUCCCUGUCUCUUAUAC
rnacentral:rRNA from 1 species